UCAGUCCUUAUCGAGGGGGGAGCAAAGUGCUCAAUGAGGUCCCAUCCGAGAGUACUUCUGCCGACAACCUAUCAACCCCUUAUAAGAUGCUUGCCACUUUGCGAGCAUCAAUUUUUGGAAAA
rfam:Rhizophagus irregularis DAOM 197198w jcf7180003182340, whole genome shotgun sequence.